rnacentral:lncRNA from 1 species
CUGAACAUGAUGUAAAGCUUAGAGCUUGAUCAAAGUGAGUGAUGAAAAUUGUAUGCAAAAAAAGUGUACAUGGCUUAGAGCUUGUUUACACAACUGUUUCUGCUAUUUUCGGACUUUCUUCAUAGCUCAAGGUGUUACAAGAAACUAUCAUUGGGGCAUCAAGAUAAAAACAAAAAAUGGUAUCAUUAAUGAAACAUUUUCCCUGCAGAAGUAUUCCUUUGAGUUGAAUCUUGCAGUGCAAUUUCCCUUGAAGUUGACAGCAUUAAUGAGACCCUUCAGAAUAGAAAGGGGAAAUAUGUUAUUGGAAAUACACAAUCCUUGCAACAAAAAUAAACAGGUGCAAACAUUUGAUAAUUGCGAUUCUUUGGGUGAACCCUGUUAGAGGAGGAACUGCCGAUGACGAAGUUACCUAAGCUGACUUCAUAUUCAGAUAAAAUAAUGAUUGGCAUUCAAAGCUUCACUUGAAUAUGUAGAAACCCUGUUGAAACAAAUAUGGUAUUAUAAGAAGUUAAUUUCACUAUUCAGUACAAAAAAGAUGCUCUAAGGGAGUAACAUCUCGCUUCCGUCUUUGGGAGAAAAUAAAUAGAGAACUUACAUAUCUCUGCAGGAAAGAAGUUACUAAUGGCAGCUGAAUUUCAUUGUCCUUGAAAGUUACUAAUGGAAAUUAUUGUGAAUUUUAAAAUACUUUUAAUCUGAUUUUUAGGAGAAAGAACCAAGAAGUUGCUGCUGGCUGGUACAAAUCUUGUAAAAGGGGAGAGUUCCAUGGAAAACCAAAUUGAAAUUGACCUUGGUAGCUGGUACAAAUCUUGAUUCAAAAUUUCCUAUGUUCAAAGAACUAGUAUUUCCAUACGUAGCAGCGAACAAAACCUUGAAGUUGUAGGUAACUGCACUAAUUGUUGGUAGAAAUGUAU